rnacentral:rRNA from 1 species
AACGAACGCUGGCGGCGUGCCUAACACAUGCAAGUCGAACGCAGUUGCGAACGGGUGAGUAACGCGUAGGUAACUGCCUCAUAGCGGGGGAUAACUAUUGGAAACGAUAGCUAAUACCGCAUACUGUGAGAUGGACCUGCGUGGUAUUAGCUAGUUGGUGAGGGAAAGGCUCACCAAGGCGACGCUACAUAGCCGACCUGAGAGGGUGAGUGGCCAGACUGGGACGGGGACACGGCCCAGACUCCUACGGGAGGCAGCAGUAGGGAAUCUUCGGGAAUGGACGGAAGUCUGACCGAGCAACGCCGAGUGAGGGAAGAAGGUUUUCGGAUCGUAAAGCUCGGUUGUUAGAGAAGCGGUAGCGAACCAGAAAGGGACGGCUAACUACGUGCCAGCAGCCGCGGUAAUUC